CCUACGGGUGGCAGCAGUGAGGAAUAUUGGUCAAUGGACGCAAGUCUGAACCAGCCAUGCCGCGUGCAGGAAGACGGCUCUAUGAGUUGUAAACUGCUUUUGUACGAGGGUAAACGCAGAUACGCGUAUCUGUCUGGAAGUAACCUACGAAUAAGGAUCGGCUAACUCCGUUCCCGCAGCCGCGGUAAUACGGAGGAUGCGAGCGGUAUCCGGAUUUUUUGGGUUUAAAGGGUGCGUAGGCGGGAUGCCAAGUCAGCGGUAAAAAUGCGGUGCUCAACGCCGUCGAGCCGUUGAAACUGGCGUUCUUGAGUGGGCGAGAAGUAUGCGGAAUGCGUGGUGUAGCGGUGAAAUGCAUAGAUAUCACGCAGAACUCCGAUUGCGAAGGCAGCAUACCGGCGCCCUACUGACGCUGAGGCACGAAAGCGUGGGUAUCGAACAGGAUUAGAUACCCCUGUAGUC
rnacentral:rRNA from 1 species